CGUAAAUAAAAAACCAACAGAAAGAACAAAAACAUACAUUUAGGGAGAAACUGGAAGGGGACCGACGGGGACAGUGGCGAGGUAGGUGAUGGACGGAGGCACGGUGUCCUGGUGUGGGAGGAAGGGGCAGUAAGCACGCGCCGAGGUCACGGAAACAAAGGUCAAGUUGUGCAGUGGGGAUGACACAGGAUGCCACACGGUCAGAGCAACGAGUGUACUGGAGUAGCCCAGCACACAACGGUGAGAGCGAGGAGCUGGCUAGCCACAUGCCCACGGUGGAAGCAUAAGAAACCGAGUGAGUGGUGGGACAGCAUUGGUUCAGGAAACUGCUCAGAGAGUCAGAGAGUCAGCUGCCCACCCAUUGCAGUUCACAGCAUAAAGACAACUUCCCGUUCUGGAGAAGCAAAAGACACACACACACACACACACACACACACACGCACGCACACGCGCGCACAUGCACACACGCGCACACACACACAUUUGACAAUUCAUCCUGACAUUUAAAAAAAUAAUAACGAUCAAAGUAGACAAAGAUACCACAGUUCCGACACGAAGGACCAAACGCUACCAUUCUUAAGUCACAGCCCUUAGUGCUUAGACAGGGAGUCAGGGGAACUUCUUCUCUUUGUUUUAGGAAAAAGGAAUGGAAAUAUCACAGUGAUU
rnacentral:lncRNA from 1 species